rnacentral:rRNA from 1 species
AAAUUGAAGAGUUUGAUCAUGGCUCAGAUUGAACGCUGGCGGCAGGCCUAACACAUGCAAGUCGAACGGUAGCACAGAGAGCUUGCUCUCGGGUGACGAGUGGCGGACGGGUGAGUAAUGUCUGGGAAACUGCCUGAUGGAGGGGGAUAACUACUGGAAACGGUGGCUAAUACCGCAUAAUGUCGCAAGACCAAAGAGGGGGACCUUCGGGCCUCUUGCCAUCAGAUGUGCCCAGAUGGGAUUAGCUAGUUGGU